UCCGUGAAAACCUGAUCGUUUCG
rnacentral:tRNA from 1 species